GCAAGCUUCAGCAAGACUGCCUGGGAC
rnacentral:piRNA from 1 species